rnacentral:rRNA from 1 species
AUGAGCCGCCGCUUCCCUUCGCCGACGGCGGCACCGCCGCUGGAGGACGAAAACCUGCUCUCCGAGAUCCUCCUCCGCCUCCCCCCGCAGCCGUCCUCCCUCCCUCGCGCCUCGCUCGUCUCCAAUCGCUGGCGCCGCAUCGCCUCCGACCCCGGCUUCUCCCGCCGCUUCCGCCGCCACCACCGCCCCAACCCUCCGCUGCUCGGUUUCUUCGACAUGUACGGCUGCCGCUCCUUCGUGCCUACCCUCGAGGCCCCGGAUCGUUUCCCGCCCGGGCGCUUCUCCCUGCAGCGCGGCGACGACGACUGGUUCUGGUCCCUUGGAAGCCGCCAUGGCCUGGUGCUAAUCUUGAACAGACCCACGAACCAGUUGCUGGUGUGGGACCCCGUCACCUGCGACAAGCACUGGAUUGCCGUGCCCCCGGGAUUCGAGUGCGACUCGGACAGCCCGAUCGGCGGGGCGGUGCUUCGCUAUGCCGUAGACGACCACCACUUCCUGGUGGCCUUGGUAAGCACCACCGAGAAACAAGACCAUACAAGAGCCAUCGCCAGCGCUUACUUGUCGGAGACCAACACAUGGAGUGAUAUAAUCUCAACACCGCUUCCACCGGCAUCCGAAUCCCGCUUCCAAUUGCAAGCAGAAGACUUGCCACCGUUUGAAUGUCCGACCAUGAUUUAUUGCAGCAUACCUGCUGUGCUGGUUGGGGAUUCCCUUUACUGGUGGCUUCGGGAUAGCUCGUACAACAUCCUCCAAUUUGAUUUGGAUAGGGACUGCCUAACCGUGAUACCUGCACCGGUGGACUUGUAUGACAGCGAUAUCCACUUCUCGGUUAUGCGGGCAGAUGAUGGAGGGCUUGGUUUCCUAUUUGUAUCAAAGUUCAGUGUUCAAUUGUGGAAGACGAAGGUCAUUUUGUGA